rnacentral:rRNA from 1 species
GGAUUCCCCUAGUAACUGCGAGUGAAGCGGGAAAAGCUCAAAUUUAAAAUCUGGCGGUUUCACCGUCCGAGUUGUAAUCUGGAGAAGUGUUUUCCGCGUCGGACCGUGUACAAGUCUCUUGGAACAGAGCGUCAUAGAGGGUGAGAAUCCCGUCUUUGACACGGACUGCCGAUGCUUUGUGAUACGCUCUCAAAGAGUCGAGUUGUUUGGGAAUGCAGCUCAAAAUGGGUGGUAAAUUCCAUCUAAAGCUAAAUAUUGGCGAGAGACCGAUAGCGAACAAGUACCGUGAGGGAAAGAUGAAAAGCACUUUGGAAAGAGAGUUAAACAGUACGUGAAAUUGUUGAAAGGGAAACGCUUGAAGUCAGUCGCGUUGUCCGGGACUCAGCCUUGCUUCUGCUUGGUGUACUUCCUGGUUGACGGGCCAACAUCGAUUUUGGUCGGCAGAUAAAGGUGGAGGGAAUGUGGCACCUUCGGGUGUGUUAUAGCCCUCUGUCGGAUGUGUCGACUGGGAUCGAGGAUCGCAGCACGCCUUUUUGGCCGGGGUUCGCCCACGUACCGUGCUUAGGAUGUUGGCAUAAUGGCUUUAAGCGACCCGUCUUGAAACACGGACCAAGGAGUCUAACAUGCCCGCGAGUGUUAGGGUGGAAAACCCUUGCGCGUAAUGAAAGUGAAAGUUGGGACCUCUGUCGUGGAGGGCACCGACGCCCGGCCUUGAACUUCUGUGACGGCGCCGCGGUAGAGCGUGUAUGUUGGGACCCGAAAGAUGGUGAACUAUGCCUGAAUAGGGCGAAGCCAGAGGAAACUCUGGUGGAGGCUCGUAGCGAUUCUGACGUGCAAAUCGAUCGUCAAAUUUGGGUAUAGGGGCGAAAGACUAAU